AAUAACCUCAUUUUUCAGUUUUUUGAUUGAAUGUUUUGACUUUUCGUCUUAUUUGAAUUUUUUGCGAUUAAUAUUUUUAUUGUUACUGAAUGAUAAAAUAUGAAUAAUACUUUAUGCGUGACUAAUUUUUUUAAGUUUUUUACAAAUUUUCUAAAUAAAACGAAUGAUCAAACAUUGGACACGGAAAAAC
rnacentral:pre_miRNA from 1 species